UGCGUAGGCGGUUUACUAAGUCAGAUGUGAAAGCCCCGGGCUUAACCUGGGAACUGCAUUUGAUACUGGUAGGCUAGAGUAUGAUAGAGGGGGGUAGAAUUCCUGGUGUAGCGGUGAGAUGCGUAGAUAUCAGGAGGAAUACCAGUGGCGAAGGCGGCCCCCUGGAUCAAUACUGACGCUGAGGUACGAAAGCGUGGGUAGCGAACA
rnacentral:rRNA from 1 species